CUGGCUCAGGAUGAACGCUGGCGGCGUGCCUAAUACAUGCAAGUGAAACGGGUAUCUUCGAAUACCAGUCGCGGACGGGUGAGUAAUACAUAGGCAACCUGCCUUUAUGAGGGGGAUAACCGAGGGAAACUUUGGCUAAUACCGCAUGAAGACUCUAAGGCAUCUUAGAGGGAUAAAAGUUGGGAAACAACGCAUGAAGAUGGGCUUAUGGCGCAUUAGCUAGUUGGUGAGAUAGAAGCCCACCAAGGUAAUGAUGCGUAGCCGACCUGAGAGGGUGAACGGCCACAUUGGGACUGAGACACGGCCCAAACUCCUACGGGAGGCAGCAGUAGGGAAUUUUCGGCAAUGGGGGGAACCCUGACCGAGCAACGCCGCGUGAAAGGAAGAAGGUUUUCGGAUUGUAAACUUCUGUUAUAAGGGAAGAACGGAUUGGAUAGGGAAUGAUCUGAUAGUGACGGUACCUUAUUAGAAAGCCACGGCUAACUACGUGCCAGCCGCUGC
rnacentral:rRNA from 1 species